CAGUAGCCGCGGUAAUACGUAGGUGGCAAGCGUUGUCCGGAAUUAUUGGGCGUAAAGGGCUCGCAGGCGGUUUCUUAAGUCUGAUGUGAAAGCCCCCGGCUCAACCGGGGAGGGUCAUUGGAAACUGGGAAACUUGAGUGCAGAAGAGGAGAGUGGAAUUCCACGUGUAGCGGUGAAAUGCGUAGAGAUGUGGAGGAACACCAGUGGCGAAGGCGACUCACUGGUUUGUAACUGACGCUGAGGAGCGAAAGCGUGGGAGCGAACAGGAUUAGAUACCCCCGUAGUCCCUGUCUCUUAUACA
rnacentral:rRNA from 1 species